AGGUGUGAUCUGAAUUCAGCUGCAUUGAAACCAGUAUGUGCCAGUUACAUUUGCACCAGAGUUUUUUCUCUGCUAGGAGCUGUGGGAAUAAAUCAGGAAUGUAACUUAAGAGCACAUUUGUGACCACAGAAUGCCUUGAAGAUCAGAUAGAAAAUAUGAGGUUAUGAUGUGUUCAGACCAUGGGAAAUCUGGACACAAUGAGAUGUUUCACUGCCUCAUCUGUAGGUGAGCCUCGCUCCCGUCUUUUGCGGAGUUCUGUAAUGCAACUCUCUGAAGCACAAAAUAAGUUUGCAUAGUGAUGUGACGUUGCUCAUCUGCUGGCAAGAAAAAAUUUCUGCUUAUUGAGGCUGGAUGCCUCAUGCUGUACACGGCACUUUUUCUGGAAUGUUUUAUUCACUCACUGAGCAUUUUGAGCUUUGGAAGUGACUCAUGACACAAAUCCCAGUACAUUUAACCUUUUUGACUUUAGAAUGUGUGCUUCCACCAUCAAACGUUUGUUGGAAUUUCCUGUUAGAACAGCAAUCUCUAAAUGUGGAGAUUCAGUGCCAGCAUCAGAACUGUCUGGUGAAAAUUCCUCUGACUGCUAUCAGCAUGGGGCAAAUAGCCUUAUUUUGCUACCUCCUCUUUGAGAUAAAAGUUUGGACAUGAGAAAGCAGCAUCUAAAACUUUGGAUGUAGUCACACUUCACUGGACUUCACCAAGAUGUUGUACAGAAACAACCAGUACGUUAGCUUAGCCUUUUCCCCUUACUGAACUUGACCAGAGCUUGUCUUCAACCAGCUUUAGUUGGUCAUUGCCCACUCCUGUGCUCACAAGGCUGCUGUUCAUCCAGUAAAUGGAAUAUUUACCUCACCAAAAUGUUGUCAAGUUGCAAUAGUUUUUAAACAACAUGCUUGGUCCUGUCUUCAUUCCUGAGUUCUUUUCUGUUAGGGCUGUGAGGAGAAAUGCUGAACUCAAAUGUCAUGCAGUUUGACUUAACAGUCUUGGGCAUCUUUUUGGCAUGACCUGUUGUAAUGCCUGGAAAUCUUUUGCAUAGAAUAAUGGAUAUGAAUUUUAAUCCUCUAUUGAAGCAUUCACAGGAAGUGUUUUAAGUUAUUUGUAAUAUCCAUCUUGCCUUUCUGUGAAACUGUACAUCUUCCUUCCCUAAGACUUUCUACAUCAGACUGUAGCCUAGGUAACCUAUUAUAUAGCCCCUCGCAAAUGAGGUGCUUAUGUUGGAAAUAGUACCAAAAUAUAACAUCAGGAAGGUGUUGCUGUAAUUAGUGUUUGUGCUGAAAGGGAUAGACAGGCAUUCUUAGGUUUUCUUUUUUUUUAUGGAUAAGAAAUAUAACAAUAUAUUAUCUCAUGAUAACAUGAUUCCAAU
ensembl:lncRNA